rnacentral:rRNA from 2 species
UGGGGAAUAUUGCACAAUGGAGGGAACUCUGAUGCAGCGACGCCGCGUGAACGAAGGAGGCUUUCGAGUCGUAAAGUUCUUUUAUAUGGGAAGAUAAUGACGGUACCAUAAGAAAAAGCCCCGGCUAACUACGUGCCAGCAGCCGCGGUAAUACGUAGGGGGCUAGCGUUGUCCGGAAUCACUGGGCGUAAAGGGUUCGCAGGCGGAAAUGCAAGUCAGGUGUAAAAGGCAGUAGCUUAACUACUGUAAGCAUUUGAAACUGCAUAUCUUGAGAAGAGUAGAGGUAAGUGGAAUUUUUAGUGUAGCGGUGAAAUGCGUAGAUAUUAAAAAGAAUACCGGUGGCGAAGGCGACUUACUGGGCUCAUUCUGACGCUGAGGAACGAAAGCGUGGGUAGCAAACAGG